rnacentral:tRNA from 3 species
UGGGGUAUCGCCAAGCGGUAAGGCACCGGUUUAUGAUACCGGCAUUCCCAGGUUCGAAUCCACGUACCCCAGCCA